rnacentral:rRNA from 1 species
UUUUUAGGGCAAGUAUGGUGGCAGCAGCCGCGGUAAUUCCACCUCCAAUAACGUAUAUUAAAGUUGUUGCAGUUAAAAAAAUCGUAGUUGAACCUCGGGCCGGGCGGGCCGGUCCUCCUCCCCGCGUGUACUGGUCCGGCCGGGCCUUUCCUUUUGGGGAACCUCAUGCCCUUCACUGGGCGUGUUGGGGAACCAGGACUUUUACUUUGAAAAAAUUAGAGUGUUCAAAGCAGGCCUUUGCUUGAAUACAUUAGCAUGGAAUAAUAGAAUAGGACGUGUGGUUUUAUUUUGUUGGUUUCUAGGACCGCCGUAAUGAUUAAUAGGGAUAGUCGGGGGCAUCAGUAUUCAAUCGUCAGAGGUGAAAUUCUUGGAUUGAUUGAAGACUAACUACUGCGAAAGCAUUUGCCAAGGAUGUUUUCAUUAAUCAGUGAACGAAAGUUAGGGGAUUGAAGACGAUCAGAUACCGUCGUAGUCUUAACCAUAAACUAUGCCGACUAGGAUCG